GUGCAUCUAUUUGACAGACCUGAGGCAGUUACUGUCUGCUUCUAAGGUUCCCAUUACAGAUGAGAAGAAAAGUUUUCCUCUGGGACUUGUGCUUUCCUUUCUGUCUGUCUGAUUGGAGCAGCCAUGAUUGAAUAGAGGAAAACAGAG
rnacentral:snoRNA from 1 species